GUGCUCACUUUGGCAGCUCAUAUACUCAAAUUGGAAUGAUACAGAGAUUUGCGUGGCCCUACCACAAGGAUGUCAGGACCUAUGUUAUCUAGGAUU
rnacentral:snRNA from 1 species